ensembl:snoRNA LOC120096840 small nucleolar RNA ACA64
AUCCUUUGAAAAUUACUCUUGGCAUUGCCCUUGACUAUUUGAGAGGGAUAAGAUUUGCUGCUCAGAAACAUUAGGGGUCUCAGAUCACCACCUGCUCCCCCAGUGUGUGUAGCUGGGUGAAACCUAGGCUCUGAUAGUC